AUAGUGUCUCUCGGUUCAGGCCUGCCAUGAACUAGAAACUGCUGGAACACCAGCGUCACUGUCCACAUUGAAGCAAGUUUUACAUUGUCAUGUACCGAGAGGGUGCUGACCAAGAAAG